rnacentral:lncRNA from 1 species
UUUUUUUUUUUUUUUUUUUUGUCUUUUUGCCAUUUCUUGGGCCGCUCCCGCGGCAUAUGGAGGUUCCCAGGCUAGGGGUCCAAUCGGAGCUGUAGCUGCCAGCCUACACCAGAGCCACAGCAACGCAGGAUCGUUAACCCACUGAGCAAGGGCAGGGAUCGAACCCACCACCUCAUGGUUCCUAGUCAGAUUCGUUAACCACUGCGCCACGACAGGAACUCCUUAUGUUACUAACAUUCUAAGUUAAAAAAGAAAAAGAAAAAUCAGCAAUCAAGAGACAAAAGGGAACGCAAAUAAGUUAUGGAGAUACAAAAAAUGAAAAGGCUACAAACCUGCAACUAUUUCACAAAUAUUAGUUAUGCACAGGUGCAUCUGUGAGAUACCUAUUUGCUCUUAGAAUAUUGCACCAACUUUAUUUGGCUGUGGAACCUAUCCUUCUUGUGACACUAGUGUUCCAAUUUAACCUUAUACUUUGUGAGAAAGUAAACUGUAGUCUAGAGCUACUCGGUUGAAUAUAUCAUUAUCAGCCACAUGAAGCUAAGUUUAAACGACUUAAAAACUUUUAAAAAUUAAAUUUCAGUUCUUCAGUUGCACUAGUCACAUUUCAAAUGCUCUACAACCAUAUGUAGCCACGAGCUACCAUACUGGAUAGUGCAGGUGUACAAUAUUUCCAUUAUUGUAGAAAGUUCUACUGGACAAUGCUGGUCUAGCGAUUAUUUGAUUCAUCUAUACAGCUAAUGUGGCACAGCCAAACUCUCAGUCCUCUUUGUCCUAUUUUACUUCCUAGACAAGGACUUCACCAAUCACCUGGUUUCUGAAUGAUCACGUCGGCGUUUUUGUUAAGUUCUGCUUACAAAUCUCCAUUCGCUUUUCAAACUUUGCAUGACAUUCAAAGCCUUCCACAAGCUAGCCUUAGUCUCUCACCAUUCUCCUACAUAAAAAUAUACUCUGUGGAAUUCCUGUUGUGGCUCAGUGGAAAUAGUAUCCAUGAGGAUGUGGGUUCGAUCCCUGGCCUUGCUCAGUGGGUUAAGGAUCUGUCGUUGUCAUGAGCUGUGGUAUAGGUUGCAGAUAUGUUUAAAAUCUGGAGCAGAGCUAGUCAGCUCUCCUGAUUCAUUGUGUUAUAAGAACAUCUUGUAUUGAUUCAUUGUAACUUAUUCCAAAGCAGAGAUAAACAGAACCUCCAUAUGCAGUAGCCUCAUGGGUACUUCUUCCUUUUGUUUUUACACUGAGAGCUGCUAUGACAAGUUACUAAUAAUGAAAAAAUCUCUUUUGCAACAGCCUUGUCUGAGUAGUUCAGAGUGUUUCAAAGACAUAACUUACACUAAUCAAAUGAAAUAGAUGACAGCACAUUCUCCCUAAUUUUAUAGACGGGGAAAGAGAGAGAGGCAGAGUGAUUUGGGAUAAGUUGUAUAACCAAGAGAAGUCAGAUAUCCUGACUUUCCAUUCAAAUCAGUAACUAUAAUUCGAUGACAUCUGUGCUUCUGUAUUUAGACUCAAAAGACAUGUUAGAAAAAGACUACCAAAGAAAUACAAGAAUUUCUGUGGAAAGGAACAAACGUUUCAUGUAAAAAUGCCUCUAGAGCUGUGCUCCACUGUAACCACAUAAUGGAUCAAAGACUUAGUACAAAUAAAAGAAUGUAAAGUCACUCAUUAAAACAUGCUGAGAUGAUAAUAUUUGGGAUAUGCUGGGUUAAAUAAAACAUACAACAAAAUUAAUUCCCCUGCUUCUGUUUACUUUUUAAUAUGGUGAACAGAAAAUCUUAAAUUACAUUUAUGACCUAUGUUAUAUUUCUAUUAGAUAGCCCUGCUGUAAAGAAAGUUAGGAAAUAGUUACCUGACAAUAUAUAGACUUUAUUCAGUUAGCAAAUACUUAUCCAACACCUAUCAUUGCCAGGCUUUAAGCUAAGUGCUGUGUGAACAAAGAGAAUGGUCCCUGACAUCACAGAGUUUACAUGAUCUUCUACACUUCUACUGCACAUUUCUUAUGUACCAUCUCAUUUGCGGUAAAUGCAUAAGAAUAACCUAAAUUAGAAUACUUUACCUUAGGGAGCAAAUGCCAAUACGUGACUUAGAAAUCACAAAAUAUAAACCAUUAGGCCAUCUAUUUUUGUGAUACAUUAUUUACAUUAUUAUGUUAUAUAUGAUUUUUCUGUAAGCCCAAUACGGUCUCAUUUCCAAUAGCUUCUGGUUUCUUGUUCCUUACCUCUAACUAGUUUGCUCCCUCCUAUGGUUCGCUUCUACCAGAAUGUCUCUUCAACUGGCAGUCUUGCUUGCCAUUCACAUUACAACAGGGCUGUUUAUUAUUUCCAGGGGUCUUCAGAGAGGGACAGAGGCUGAAAAUGUUAAGUGUACAUAAUUUUAAGGGGCCGACUUCAGGUUUUUUUUGGACUCAAAACUAGGUUUUGAAGUUUUGGGGGGCUUAAACAAACUAGGGUGAUUUCUGAGGAUUUUAUUUCAAAAGUUAAUGCAAACUUAUUUGAGGGCUAAAACAACUCCUCGUUAGUUUUGUCCUAUUGACGCUUUCACAUAAGAAAACUCUCCUGUGUAAAAUUUCAAAAACAAAUUAACAAGUAGCAUUUCUUAAGAAAUGACUUGUAAAACAAAAUACUAAAUAAUAUUGAUAGGACAAGAAUGUAUAAUGUUUUUUAGGCUAAUGGCAUAGAUUUCAAUAAGGUGUUAUCAAUAAACAAAACAGCCGUUCAGGUUUUAUUGACAGUUACAGAGAGAGCAAUAAAAGCAAAAACUAUUUUAUCAGAAGGUGAUAAGAAAGUAUUACAUAUGAUAGCUACUGAGAAAUAAAGUACCCAAGUUUUGAAUACCCAAAAUGACUUCAUUGCCCUUUUUUAGUGGGAUUCUACCAGCAUCUGAAAUACAGAUGUGUUUAGCAAAGGAAUAUUAUCCUUCAGGCUUUAGCUGUUAAAUACCCAGUUGUUUCAAUAUUAUACAAAGCUAACAAAAACUAAUAGUUCAUGACUUCAAAAUAAAAAAGAAACAAAGAAAAAUAAUAAUUACUUUUGAUUGCAGAAAGAAAUCACCCAAGGAAAAUUCAGGUGAUCUCCAUAAGUAACUAGAUUAACACUUUUCUAAAAAGGAAUCAACCCCAAACCUCUUUAAUUAAGGUAAAGUACUUCAUUAUAUGGUCAUAGGUCCUUUGAGUCGUCAUUAAACUACUAGUACUGGUUUGCCAAACACAAUGCAAAUGCAAUCAAAUAUAAAUUUAGAAAUACAACUUAUCUUCACCCUUCAGCCCAAAAUGGCCUAAUUUUUUUAUAUGGGCUUCAAAUGAUAAAAGAGCAUAAAGCUUAGUCAGCACGAAACUGGGCUGCAUUUGACAAUUAAUUGUCACUUGUUAGUAGCAUCAGAAAAACAAGUAAUAAUUCUUUAAGAUUUCCUUCACAACCUGAGAAUAUAAGGAGGCAACUCAUAUAUAAAUGCAACAAAAUUUAUCCCCAGCUUACUCUCUGCCCAGCAUCUGACUGAGGAAUUUCAUGUAUUAUCACAAAUACUUGUUUUCCUUUUCCUCCUUGAAAAAUUCAGAAAACUACACAUAUUUCAAUCCUCGAUGCCCUACAAAUUGGGUAGAUGGAGGUGGGGGACAGGCAAGAAUGAUUAGAAAUCAAAGAAUUUCUGUGAUAAAUCUAAAUAAGUGUUUACUAUAAAAUCAGAACGUGCAAUAAUACACAAGAGAUUCUUUCAAAUGUUAAAAGAGAUUGUUUCAAAUUACCUAUAUUUAAUUCCAUCUACGACCCCUACAAGAAUUGUAUCAUUGGUUCUGAUUCCAUUAAAGAGAGGCGACCCCAAGUGUCUUAACUCACAACUGCAAAAAUAUUACCUUUUGACUUCCUCUAUUUCAAAUUUGUGAAGUGCAUUUGUUUUCCACUAAGAUGCUGAAGUAUCUUUAAAAACAGGUACUAAUCUUAGUACUUUUCAUAUGUUAGGUAGAAAAAAACAUGGUUUCACUUAGUCAAUUAGAAGGCACCCAAAAUUCUACAGGUCACCACAAAAAUUUUUAAAAAUCCAAUACCAGUCAGAUGUCAGUAAAAUGAACUGUUCUUUAAACUCUAAUGAUCAACUGAAGCAUCAUCCAAGUAAAACAACACUAUUUCAAGUAGUUACUAUUUGAAGACUAAGAAUUGAGUCGUGUUUCAACUCUUAAAAUAAUGUUACAGUUAAAAGUCAAUCUUACUGGAAUCCUCCUGGUAGUCACAGAUACUGAAAAAAUACACUAACAUCAGUUGCCAAAUAUAAUUUUUUCCUCGGAAAUAAAAUAGUUUCUGAGGACACAUGAAGUUCGCUUAUACUGUAUACGGUCAUUUGAGAAUAUUAAACCAAGAAAUAAAAAGGGUUUUGUUGUUGUUACAUAGUUUGGUUUAUUAAGUCCUAAGACUGAAUUCUAAAUCUUUACCGUGGGAUUCCACAUAACAAGCAAAGGAUAUUUGAAAAUAAGCUUUAACAACAGAUCAUAGCCGUCUUCUAAAUAGAAGUAUUUACAUUUUGAUUCAGUUCUGACAGCUGUGUAUUAAGGAAGUAUAAACAGGCAAAUAUAGUAAUAACAGCUUGACUGAUAAAGAGAAGUGGAAGGAUGGUCAUUAAGAUGGUUAAUGGCAUAAUUGAAAACGAAAUUCAGGCACACCGUCAGACUUCACAUAACCAAAAGGUCGAAGAAAUAGGAUGAAAUUUAAAAAUACACAUGUAAAUAUAAAUCAAAAAGACAGCCAUGU